rnacentral:rRNA from 1 species
AGUGAACGCUGGCGGUAGGCCUAACACAUGCAAGUCGAACGGCAGCACAGUAAGAGCUUGCUCUUACGGGUGGCGAGUGGCGGACGGGAGAGGAAUACAUCGGAAUCUACUUUUUCGGGGGGGAUAACGUAGGGAAACUUACGCUAAUACCGCAUACGACCUACGGGUGAAAGCAGGGGAUCUUCGGACCUUGCGCGAUUGAACGAGCCGAUGUCGGAUUAGCUAGUUGGCGGGGUAAAGGCCAACCAAGGCGACGAUCCGUAGCUGGUCUGAGAGGAUGAUCGGCCGCCCUGGAGCUUGGACACGGUCCAUGCUCCUGCGGGAGGCAGCAGUGGGGAAUGUUGGGCAGUAGGCGCGAGCCUGGUCCAGCCGGCCCGAGUGGGUGGAGGAGGCCUUCGGGUUGUGAUGCCGUUUUGUUGGUAAAGAAAAGCAGCAGGUUAAUACCACGCGGUUCUGACGGUACCCAGAGAAUAAGCACCGGCUAACUUCGUG